rnacentral:rRNA from 1 species
GUGGGGAAUUUUGGACAAUGGGCGCAAGCCUGAUCCAGCCAUGCCGCGUGCAGGAUGAAGGCCUUCGGGUUGUAAACUGCUUUUGUACGGAACGAAAAAGCUCUCUCUAAUACAGGGGGUGAAUGACGGUACCGUAAGAAUAAGCACCGGCUAACUACGUGCCAGCAGCCGCGGUAAUACGUAGGGUGCAAGCGUUAAUCGGAAUUACUGGGCGUAAAGCGUGCGCAGGCGGUUAUGUAAGACAGAGGUGAAAUCCCCGGGCUCAACCUGGGAAGUGCAUUCGUGACUGCAAGGCUAGAGUGUGUCAGAGGGAGGUGGAAUUCCGCGUGUAGCAGUGAAAUGCGUAGAUAUGCGGAGGAACACCAAUGGCGAAGGCAAUCCCCUGGGCCUGUACUGACGCUCAUGCACGAAAGCGUGGGGAGCAAACAGGAUUAGAAACCCCGGUAGUCC